rnacentral:rRNA from 1 species
GACGAACGCUGGCGGCGUGCUUAACACAUGCAAGUCGAACGCUGAAGCUCAGCUUUUGUUGGGUGGAUGAGUGGCGAACGGGUGAGUAACACGUGAGUAACCUGCCUCCUUCUUUGGGAUAACGCCCGGAAACGGGUGCUAAUACUGGAUAUUCACUGGUCUUCGCAUGGGGGUUGGUGGAAAGGGUUUUUCUGGUGGGGGAUGGGCUCGCGGCCUAUCAGCUUGUUGGUGGGGUGAUGGCCUACCAAGGCUUUGACGGGUAGCCGGCCUGAGAGGGUGACCGGUCACAUUGGGACGGAGAUACGGCCCAGACUCCGACGGGAGGCAGCAGUGGGGAAUAUUGCACAAUGGGCGCAAGCCUGAUGCAGCGACGCCGCGUGAGGGAUGGAGGCCUUCGGGUUGUGAACCUCUUUCGCUCAUGGUCAAGCCGCAACAAUGGUUGUGGUGAGGGUAGUGGGUAAAGAAGCGCCGGCUAACUACGUG